rnacentral:tRNA from 1 species
GUCUGGGUAGUUCAGUAGGUAGAACACUUGGCUGUUAACCAAGAUGUCGGAGGUUCGAGUCCUCCUCCAGACG